ACUUUUUCGGGCGUUUUUCUGUUACGUUGACUAGCUUUGGAGUUUUCUCCAAACACUGUGCACAUAGGGUAUAUGGCCCUAUUUUGGACCUACUAUGCAAAGCGUCAACACAUUUCGCAUGGUUCUCAGGAACGGUCUAACUAAUUUGGCUCGUUUCAGGAUUGUUUUGUGCCUUAAUUUAUGCUUAAUAAAGUGUACUAUUGAAAAUUGAAAUUAAUUUAACCAUUUCAUUGUAAUAAGCAUUUCAAGUAAAACAUUUUUUGGAUGCUUUUUGGACUUAUUGAAUGUAUUUUGGAGACAUCGCUGAACCUAUUUUGGACCCACACUCUGAUUGGUUGAAAUUUGGACAACUCGAAUUGCGGCGUGCGGCGGCAACACGCACACUUACAAAAAACUCGGUCUGAUAAACCAAAGGGCCUAUCCACGAUUAUAAUUUGGAAAAUAUUUAUUUCAGAAAUUAAAUAAUUAUGAUAAAACAAUGGAUUUGAAUUUGAAAACGUGUUUUAAUUAUAUUGAAUGGAAACUCACGCAUCUUUAGCAGCCUGAACUACCUCGAUUAAUAAAAAUAGGUCCAAAAUAGGUACUAGGUCCAAAAUAGGGUCAUAUACCCUAACAAAAUCUUUGUUUUCGCAGAGGGGACUUUUGCCAAACAUUUGGCACACUGCGCAACGUAACCUGGCAACGCAGGACCAGCCUGAUAGUAAUGCAAUGAUAUCGGAUCAAAGCAAGUUUCCCUUUUUGAAAAAUUUCUGGGAAAGGCUCGAGUUCGGCUCCACACACAUACAAUUUGUCUUCCAAAUAACGUUCGAUACGGGACAUUAGCGCCUUGUCCUUCCCGAUACUAUACUGAGCGUAAAGCAGUCGCGGAAAGUUACAUUCUGUGCAUCGUACAAUUUUCCUUGCCCGUGUGUAAGCCAGUUGGAAAGGCGCUUUUGAGUUGCUUUCGUCGGUUCUUGUCGGCAAAGUCUUGCUCGGAACGUGAUGAUCAGACGGUUCUUGCCCGUAGACUUCCUCGAAAGAUAAAAACUUAUCCCCGAGAGGCUCCGUGUUGGCAACCACUUGAUCUCUUCAAAAACUUCUCUCGGCAGUCGGAUUGCGGAGUGGAACUCACAUUCUGCGUCAAUGCACUUUUUCACCUGGAAGGAAUAGGUUGUGCACUUGACGUGCUUUUCGACAAAACGUGCGAAGCUUGCAAUUUGAUAAACUUCGGUUUUCAACAGCUUUUUGUUGAAGUCGAUCUCCGGCCAGCACCUAUAAUAUGAAUUAAAUUUUAAAUUCAUGGUUUACAAUUCUGUAUUUUAAUCUGCAGUGAAUGCCAUUGAUAUUGCUUUCAAGAUGAAUCAUCGAUUUACAAAAUAAGGGGCAACAACCAAUUUAAAACUAGCAUCGCAGAAAAAUUCUAGAGUGUUUUCAGUCACCCUAAUCGCAGACCAUCAAACACACAAAAACUUCGCUUUAGCAUAAGCAUAAGCAUAAGCAUAGGUGCCCACCCGCAGUUGCUACUCCGUUAUUGACCAGGACCUCCAGAAGUUACAUCCACGAGCCGUGGAAGAUGAGUGGGUGCUAUCUUUCCUCGCUUCGCAACUUCUCAAAGGCCCCUAUCAUGCUGAUCAAUACCGGCGCCGGCCACGACCAGUGGUAGAGUCACGGGGAAGUGGAUGGGAAUGUUAGUCCGAUACUUGAGUGAUAGAGACCGCCCAAUCGACUGCUUCUCCGACAAAGUAUCACAUGAGUUUUGAGGGGGUUAGUAGAUGGGUAUGAGGUCAGGAUUCACGAGUGGCAGUGAUGUGACCAUGAGCAUUUUGUUUAUCGGUUGAAAAUUUUAAAUCUUAGGCAACCGGCUGCGGAAAGAUAAAUAAUUGAUUAUUUAAAAAGUUUUUUAAUCGAACGCGUGCCAACCGAGCAGUAGUGCUAUGGGCUGGACUUAUCAGUUUUUUGUUCUGUUUGUACAAUUUAGAUAACGCGGGCAAAUUUCAAAAAAUAGUAAAUAAAAGACGCUUUACGCUUUAACUGCCAGUUGGAAUAAAUUAUUACGAUCAACGGAUAUAAACGUAAAGAAAACAGGACACCACGUAACCGAUUGUAAUGAAAUUAAAACAAUAACUUUAACGAACUAAACCGGCGGCGUGCCUUCCAAUCAACGAUGAUAAAAGAAGGACUUAUGAAAAAUAAAAUAUCAAAUAAAGGCUCCGAAAACACGUUGCAGAGUAACCGCGAAGUCCCGCUACUCACAAUCGAAUCAACAAAAUUCAAAAACGUGCGCUAAUGGUCUAUCCUAAAUGUCAGCGUGUCUUUCGAUAAACGAUUCUAUAGAAAUGAGUUUUUCACCGCGAAAAUUUAACACAUUAUUUGGAUUGUAUCAAUCUACUGGUACAGUUGACAAACUAACGAAACGACAGCAAAAUGAUCAAGAACGCGUAUACUUAAUUAUUUAAUAAUGACCCUAUAACGAUUAUUUUCAAUGAGAUAUGAUUUGGAUUUAUCGACCGAUUCUGUAGAUUUUACGCGGUUUUCAAUAUUUAUUGGGCUGAAAAAAGAACAAAUAAACUCAUUCACACUCUCAUACACACAUAAACUAAUUUACAUUUUUAGACUUCAACAUUAUAGCGAGUAAGAUUUUUUAAAUUAGACUUGAAAUUAUUUUUGAAAGGCAUCAAUAUAAUGAAAACAGCC